AUUGAACGCUGGCGGCAGGCCUAACACAUGCAAGUCGAGCGGCAGCGGGAAAGUAGCUUGCUACUUUUGCCGGCGAGCGGCGGACGGGUGAGUAAUGCCUGGGAAAUUGCCCAGUCGAGGGGGAUAACAGUUGGAAACGACUGCUAAUACCGCAUACGCCCUACGGGGGAAAGCAGGGGACCUUCGGGCCUUGCGCGAUUGGAUAUGCCCAGGUGGGAUUAGCUAGUUGGUGAGGUAAUGGCUCACCAAGGCGACGAUCCCUAGCUGGUCUGAGAGGAUGAUCAGCCACACUGGAACUGAGACACGGUCCAGACUCCUACGGGAGGCAGCAGUGGGGAAUAUUGCACAAUGGGGGAAACCCUGAUGCAGCCAUGCCGCGUGUGUGAAGAAGGCCUUCGGGUUGUAAAGCACUUUCAGCGAGGAGGAAAGGUUGUUGGCUAAUACCCAGCAGCUGUGACGUUACUCGCAGAAGAAGCACCGGCUAACUCCGUGCCAGCAGCCGCGGUAACAC
rnacentral:rRNA from 1 species